rnacentral:rRNA from 1 species
CCUACGGGUGGCAGCAGUGAGGAAUAUUGGUCAAUGGCCGGAAGGCUGAACCAGCCAUGCCGCGUGAAGGUCAGUGCCCUAUGGGCGUUAAACUUCUUUUGUGCGGGAGCAAUAAUGGUCACGUGUGGCCAGACGAGAGUACCGUACGAAUAAGCAUCGGCUAACUCCGUGCCAGCAGCCGCGGUAAUACGGGGGAUGCAAGCGUUAUCCGGUUUUAUUGGGUUUAAAGGGUGCGUAGGCUGGGAGGUAAGUCAGCGGUGAAAUGCCCCCGCUCAACGGGGUGAAGUGCAAUUGAUACUGCCUGGCUGGAAUGCGGAUGCCGUGGGAGGAAUGUGUGGUGUAGCGGUGAAAUGCAGAGAUAGCACACAGAACACCGAUUGCGAAGGCAUCUCACGAAUCCGCGAUUGACGCUGAUGCACGAAAGCGUGGGUAUCAAACAGGAUUAGAUACCCCAGUAGUC